UACAGAGGGUGCGAGCGUUAAUCGGAAUUACUGGGCGUAAAGCGUGCGUAGACGGUUAUCUAAGUCGGAUGUGAAAGCCCCGGGCUCAACCUGGGAAUUGCAUUCGAGACUGAAUAGCUAGGGUACGGUAGAGGGAAGUGGAAUUUCCGGUGUAGCGGUGAAAUGCGUAGAUAUCGGAAAGGAACAUCAGUGGCGAAAGCGACUUCCUGGACCAGUACCGACGUUCAGGCACGAAAGCGUGGGGAGCAAACAGGAAU
rnacentral:rRNA from 1 species